GGGAUUUGUUUGGUUUGCUGAAAGUGAAGGGAAAAAGAGGCAAUUCUUGAAAACUGAAAAGAGGGCUUAGUAGUUUCAUGUGCUUUGGACGAUUGGGUGAUUACGUUAAGAAUCAUGCCGUCGUUGUGGCCUUCUAUCAAACAGUGGGUGGGUGCUUGUGUUUGUGGGGUUUCCAUGGCAGACAAGGGCAAAAGCUAGAGCAAGAGUGACCACUCCUUGCUGGAGCCGAGCCAGGUGGAAAGGACUUGGGCCUGUACUGUGUAGAGGUAGCUACAGCAAUCCCAUUGGAUGGAGCAUCGGAUCUUGCCGGCGGAGUUGGAGCAACUCCAAUGAUAUUUCUUGAAGGUGCUCGAGUUCCUUGAAGAGGUGUUGGCUGACUCUCGAAAAGAGUGGGAGGAUAUUUUUAUUUUGGUUCACAGUCUCGAUCGGUGAGUCCCAUCGGAAUGGAUCGCAAAGGAGUUCAAGGAUCAGACAAAGUUACAAUACAAUCUCGAGGCCUUCGCUUUGGCAGAGAAUCAUUAUCUCAUUCGAUUCCAUGCAGUGGCGGAUUGCGAAGGUGUUCUGGCGGGUGGGUCGUGGUUCAUCGCCGGCCAGCGAUUCAAUGGUGGGAGCCUGACUUUAUUCUGAGGGCGAAGAU
rnacentral:lncRNA from 1 species